AGGUCACUGCUAUUGGGAUCCGAUUAAGCCAUGCGAGUCGGGAGGGUUCGGCCCUCGGCGGACUGCUCAGUAACACGUGGACAAUCUGCCCUUAGGUGGAGGAUAAUCUCGGGAAACUGAGGAUAAUACUCCAUAGGUCUAGGAGGCUGGAAUGCACCUAGGCUUAAAACUCCGGUGCCUAAGGAUGAGUCUGCGGACUAUCAGGUAGUAGUCAGGGUAAUGACCUGACUAGCCUACGACGGAUACGGGUUGUGAGAGCAAUAACCCGGAGACGAUAUCUGAGACACGAUAUCGGGCCCUACGGGGCGCAGCAGGCGCGAAACCUUCACACUGUGCGAAAGCGCGAUGAGGGGAUCCCAAGUGCUUGCUCUUAGGAGUAAGCUGUUUCUCUGUUUAAAACGCAGGGAGAGGAAGGGCUGGGUAAGACGGGUGCCAGCCGCCGCGGUAAUACCUGCAGCUCAAGUGGUGACCGCUAUUAUUGGGCCUAAAACGUUCGUAGCCGGCUGAGUAAAUGCCUGGGUAAAUCGUGCCGCUUAACGGUACGAAUUCCGGGUAGACUGCUUAGCUUGAGACCGGGAGAAGCUAGAGGUACUCCUGGGGUAGGGGUGAAAUCCUGUAAUCCUGGGGGGACCACCAGUGGCGAAGGCGUCUAGCUAGAACGGGUCUGACGGUGAGGAACGAAACCCUGGGGCGCAAACCGGAUUAGAUACCCGGGUAGUCCAGGGCGCAAACGCUGCUUGCUUGAUGUUAGCUGGGCUCCGAGCUCAGCUAGUGUCGGAGUGAAGAUGUUAAGCAAGCUGCCUGGGAAGUACGAUCGCAAGAUUGAAACUUAAAGGAAUUGGCGGGGGAGCACAGCAACGGGUGGAGCGUGCGGUUUAAUUGGAUUCAACGCCGGAAAU
rnacentral:rRNA from 1 species